UCUUAAAAAUUUCAUCCAUUUGUACAAUUUAAAACUGGUAUAAUUGACGGAAUAAUUAAAUAAUGACACAUGGCGUGCUAUGUGUACUUCAUAUUGACGUACGAGGAUCAAUUUUAAAUAGCAUAAAUGAAUGAAAUUUUUAACA
rfam:Gossypium hirsutum cultivar TM-1 chromosome 8, whole genome shotgun sequence